rnacentral:misc_RNA from 1 species
UUUUUUUUUACCAACUUUACUUUUAAAAUCUUAAUGUGUUUUAACCAACAACCUUCCCUUGGGUAAGGGAAGAAAAUCUCAUUAACUGUUCUUUUAAUUAUUAUUUGUACUUUUUUACAUUUCCUGUAAAUUCAUUGUGGCUAAACUUUGGGAGUUUUAGCCUCUUUUAGUAAAGAAUAGGAGGGUUAGUGUUUGUUUUUUUUUU